UCCUCCAGGCAAGAUGGGAAAUGGUAUAAAAGCAGUCGCUAUUCAGGGCUCCUCUAUCCACAUCUCCUCACCUCUCCAAUCCAGCGAACUGAGCCAACCUCCACUGCAGGAACAUGUCUUCCUACGGACAGCUCAUCAGCUCCCGCUGCUACAACCCCUGUGAGGUGACCUGCCCGCGGCCAUAUGCCGAUGCCUGGAACGAGCCCUGCGUGACAUCCUGCGGUGACUCCAGAGCCGUGGUCUACCCACCCCCAGUGGCCAUCACCUUCCCCGGACCCAUCCUUGCCUCGUGCCCCCAGGAGAGCUACGUGGGCACCUCAGAACCCCAGUGCAUUGGCGGCCCAUACACUGCCGGCGGCUACCUGGGGUACAGAGGCUCAGUGGGCACCGGGUACUCCUACCCCUCCUAUUCCCGUCAGCUCAACAGAUACCGCUAUGGGGGAUGCGGGCCAUGCUAAAGCAGCAGAAAUACCUGUGGCAGAAAAUAAUAGCCAAGAAAUGGGGAACAAGAUUCAGAUUCAUGAAUGAGCAGAGGGACAUUGUUUUCAGAGGUACAAUACACCCUCUGCUUCUCUUUGCUGUGGGCGCUGAAGGCACUCAGGAGCUCCGAAAAUCUUUCCAGUGCAUGAAAUUCUCUUUUCUGUAAUACUCCAUCUCUUUCUGAAUGCUAUCACUAUGUCCUUACUCAUGUAGCAGACCAGGUAGGAAAUCAUUCAAUACCCACUUUCCAAUGUCCAGAAUGAUGUAGAAGGGAGUUAACAGCAAUCACUAUGUGAAUGUGUAUGCCAAGGUGUGUAAUCAGUUUGUGGACUUUAGCUUUUAAGAAAAUGAAUAUCAACAUGUAAAGUGUAAAAUAGGAAAAGCUACUCAGUGCUUUCCUCAUAUAGGUCGUUUUCCUGACUCAAAGGGCUUAUUUUUCUGAAAAGUGGAAUUGUUGAAAUCUAGCACUGUGAGAAGAAAAGAAGACCAGCUUGUGUGCAUGCAGCUUCUUGGAGUGGAGGAUUGGUUGUAGACCUGUUUUGAUCUCUGGAAAUAUGUUGUUUCUCUUUCUCAUUCUUUGACUUUGAAAAUGUAUGUUUCUCUUCUCAUUCCCAUUAAAAGAAAUCAGAUUGCAUCCUAA